GUGGGGCGGGACCGGGAGAGCGUGGCCUGUGCCUUCCGCGCCCGGCGUUCCCGGGACUCCGCGCUGCAGAGCAGGACAGAUGUGGAACCACCAGGUCACUGUCACGUGGUGCCAGAUGCCUGCUCAGCACUGGCCAUGAGGAGCCCACAGUCCACCGAGGAUGCUCUUCCCCUCUGGCCCGGAGUCUCCAGCCUCUUCAGGGAAGAAGCAGGAGAGGGAGUGUGCUCCCCUCCACUGUCUUCUUACCCACUCCCUCUUCUCCAUUUCCUUAAGCUGAAAGUUCCCAGAGCCAGAGCUGGGCCUGGGUUCUGGUGGACAGAAGGCCCAAGGAAGGAGAGAGUUAAGAAUAAAUCAUCCAUUGGCCCCCAGAUCAAGAAAUGAGGCUGUGACCAGUUGGUGGCCAGAAGGAGGUAGUCAGAUCUGUCUGGGCUCUGCUGACCCAGUCCGUCUCUGCUCCCACCAGGGUAGAGGAGGGCAGACUGCAUGGCCAAGCACCGAAGCCCAGCCUGGUCCAGGACCAUCCGCUGACUGUUUUCUGUUGUAUGGGCAGUUUGGGCAGUGUCUCUUUGGCUCUGCCUCCCCCUACUCCAUGCAUUUUCAUUAUGCUUAUUAAUAAAUUAUGGCUA